AAAAGAUUAAUUAAUAUUUAUAAUAAAAGUAUGUCAAACUUUAUUUACCUUUAGAAGGUAUCUUUUA
rnacentral:tRNA from 1 species